GUGCAGCAGGCGAGAAACCUCCGCAAUGCUCGAAAGAGCGACGGGGGACUCCAAGUGCCUACGCUUUGCGUAGGCUUUUCCCAAGCCUAAAAAGCUUGGGGAAUAAGGGCUGGGUAAGACGGGUGCCAGCCGCCGCGGUAAUACCCGCAGCCCGAGUGGUGGCCGCUUUUAUUGGGCCUAAAGCGUCCGUAGCCGGUCUGGUAAAUGCCUGGGGUAAAUCGUCUGGCUCAACCAGACGAAUUCCGGGUAGACUGCCAGACUAGGGACCGGAGGAAGGAGAGGGUACUCCGGGGGUAGGGGUGAAAUCCUGUAAUCCUCGGAGGACCACCGGUGGCGAAGGCGCUCCCCUAGGACGGGUCCGACGGUGAGGGACGAAAGCCAGGGGAGCAAACCGGAUUAGAUACCCCCGUAGU
rnacentral:rRNA from 1 species